rnacentral:rRNA from 1 species
UGAGCGAUGAAGGCCUUCGGGUCGUAAAGCUCUGUUGUUAGAGAAGAACAAGUACGAGAGUAACUGCUCGUACCUUGACGGUACCUAACCAGAAAGCCACGGCUAACUACGUGCCAGCAGCCGCGGUAAUACGUAGGUGGCAAGCGUUAUCCGGAAUUAUUGGGCGUAAAGCGCGCGCAGGCGGUCUCUUAAGUCUGAUGUGAAAGCCCACGGCUCAACCGUGGAGGGUCAUUGGAAACUGGGAGACUUGAGUGCAGGAGAGAAAAGUGGAAUUCCACGUGUAGCGGUGAAAUGCGUAGAGAUGUGGAGGAACACCAGUGGCGAAGGCGGCUUUUUGGCCUGUAACUGACGCUGAGGCGCGAAAGCGUGGGGAGCAAACAGGAUUAGAUACCCUGGUAGUCCACGCCGUAAACGAUGAGUGCUAGGUGUUGGGGGGUUCCACCCUCAGUGCUGAAGUUAACACAUUAAGCACUCCGCCUGGGGAGUACGACCGCAAGGUUGAAACUCAAAGGAAUUGACGGGGGCCCGCACAAGCAGUGGAGCAUGUGGUUUAAUUCGAAGCAACGCGAAGAACCUUACCAGGUCUUGACAUCCUCUGACCACUCUAGAGAU